AGCACCUCAAGUGGUCAGGAUGAUUAUUGGGCCUAAAGCAUCCGUAGCUCGUUUUGUAAGUUUUCGGUUAAAUCCAUACGCUUAACGUAUGGGCUGCCGGGAAUACUGCAUAACUAGGAAGUGGGAGAGGUAGACGGUACUCGGUAGGAAGGGGUAAAAUCCUUUGAUCUAUUGAUGACCACCUGUGGCGAAGGCGGUCUACCAGAACACGUUCGACGGUGAGGGAUGAAAGCUGGGGGAGCAAACCG
rnacentral:rRNA from 1 species